rnacentral:rRNA from 1 species
UACGUAGGGUGCGAGCGUUAAUCGGAAUUACUGGGCGUAAAGCGUGCGCAGGCGGUUUUGUAAGCCAGAUGUGAAAUCCCCCGGGCUCAACCUGGGAAUGGCAUUUGGGACUGCAAGGCUUGAGUGCGGCAGAGGAGACUGGAAUUCCUGGUGUAGCAGUGAAAUGCGUAGAUAUCAGGAGGAAUACCGAUGGCGAAGGCAGGUCUCUGGGCUGACACUGACGCU